UAACUGCGUUAUGCGGUGUGAAUUGCAGGACACGCCGAACACUCGAUAUUCGAACGCACAUUGCGGCUACGAGUUAACUCUCGUAGCCUUAUCUGUCUGAGGGUCGGAAAUGUUAUAACGAAUCGUAGAUGCCUUUGUAAUGACGCGGCCUUUGUUGCUGUCGUUGUCGGGCAAUAAGUAGUGAAACGGUUCCCUUGUCUACUGACGGUUAAUCAGGGGGAGAAACUUUACAGUUACUCGUUGCCUUGCUCUGUCCGUCUGUAGUUGGGUCCGGUGACACUCUAUACCUAUAGGGCUUCGUGCCUUAUGAAGUUUAAACUGUCGACCUCAGAUCAGGUAAGAUUACCCGCUGAAUUUAA
rnacentral:misc_RNA from 1 species